GAUGAAGAACGUAGCGAAAUGCGAUACUUGGUGUGAAUUGCAGAAUCCCGCGAACCAUCGAGUCUUUGAACGCAAGUUGCGCCCGAAGCCAUUAGGCCGAGGGCACGCCUGCCUGGGCGUCACACGUCGUUGCCCCCCCAUCUACUCCUUCGGGAUUGCGGGGGGCGGAUGAUGGCCUCCCGUGCGCCUCGCCGCGCGGUUGGCAUAAAUGCCAAGUCCUCGGCGACGCACGCCACGACAAUCGGUGGUUGCGAAACCUCGGUUGCCCGUCGUGUGCGGUCGUCGCGCAUCGAGGGCUCGAAAAAAUUGCCGGGUUCCGGCUCGGCUUUCAACGCGACCCCAGGUCAGGCGGGGUUACCCGCUGAAUUUAAGCAUAUCAAUAAGCGGAGGA
rnacentral:misc_RNA from 1 species